rnacentral:rRNA from 1 species
AGCAGCCGCGGUAAUUCCAGCUCCAACAGUGUAUAUUAAAGUUGUUGCAGUUAAAAAGCUCGUAGUUGAAUUUCGGGGUUCUACCGUUGGUCGGGCUAUUGUCUGUACUGGCGUGUGGAAUUUCUACCUUCUGGGGAACCAUCAUGUUAUUAAUUUAGCGUGGUGGGAAACCAGGACCUUUACCUUGAAAAAUUAGAGUGUUCAAAGCAGGCUUACGUCUGAAUACAUUAGCAUGGAAUAAUAAAAUAGGACGGUGGUCCUGUUUUGUUGGUUUCUGAAUCACCGUAAUGAUUAAUAGGGAUAGUUGGGGGCAUUAGUAUUCAAUUGUCAGAGGUGAAAUUCUUGGAUUUAUUGAAGACUAACUACUGCGAAAGCAUUUGCCAAGGAUGUUUUCAUUAAUCAAGACGAAAGUUAGGGGAUCGAAGACGAUCAGAUACCGUCGUAGUCUUAACCAUAAACUAUGCCGACUAGGGAUCGGACGAUU